rnacentral:rRNA from 1 species
UACGUAGGGUGCGAGCGUUAAUCGGAAUUACUGGGCGUAAGCGUGCGCAGGUGGUUUCUUAAGUCUGAUGUGAAAGCCCACGGCUCAACCGUGGAGGGUCAUUGGAAACUGGGGAACUUGAGUGCAGGAGGAGAAGAGUGGAAUUCCACGUGUAGCGGUGAAAUGCGUAGAGAUGUGGAGGAACACCAGUGGCGAAGGCGACUCUUUGGCCUGUAACUGACACUGAGGCGCGAAGGCGUGGGGAGCAAACAGG